GUCCUUGUAGCUCAAAUGGCUAGAGCAGUGCACGAGAUUGUUUCUAAGCAACGGUUCCAGGUUCGAAUCCUGGCAAGGACG
rnacentral:tRNA from 1 species